rnacentral:piRNA from 1 species
UUGGUUGUGUGACAUGUGGUCAGGCGUUG